rnacentral:siRNA from 1 species
ACGCCUUUAAGAUCUGGUUGCGGU